GGCCUAGUUACCAUGGGCCAAAGCUGAUGUAGAAGUUUCUCAGUGACGUUAGCAAUUCUGGUAUUACUUGCUUUACCAAUGAAGCUGUAUUGACAAGUAAGGAGUUCAUCUGUCAGUGACCAACAGUAAUGUUUUUUCUUUGCCUUUUGUAACUGCUUGAACUCAGAACUCAGAACAAGAGGUCACUCAUCACUCUCUUUGAUCAUUUGUAUAAGCAAAUAAGAAGCAUGAUUUCACUUCGUAUUUGCAACUGUCACAUAUUUCCCUUCUCCUGUUGGUGUUAGUAGAGGAACUUGUAUAGAUGCUAUAUACAUGUAUAAUCCAACAUGUCAACGAAUCUGUGACUAUGUAAGAAGUUACUAAAGGAACCAGUGUAAAGCAAAUGAUUCAGUUCAUUGACCCAUGAAGCAAUUUGUGUGCAGGCUAAACUUUUGGGCCUGAAGAUUCAUUCUACUUUUCUGAACAGACUGAAAGAUAAACAGAUACUAUUGCAUUGGACAAUCAGAAUGGAUUUUUUUGUGAUGUGCCACUUACGCUAUUCAAAUGCAUCCAACUAAAGGAAGGGAAAAGAAGGCAAAAGAAUCUCUAAGAUAUUUUAUCUGAAGACUACAAAGACAACAUUUUCUACUGGCCUAGGUCUGAAUACCAAUGAGAUAUGAAGAAUUCAUUUUGUUUAAUUUCUAUCGGGCUGGAGAGACAUGAUGCAUUACAUAUCUUCAUUGUUCCUGAUCUCAAACCAAUGAACAAACAACUCUAUUAGCAGAAUCAUCUUUCAAUGUUACUUUUUAUUUAUUUAUUUAUUUUAUUUUUUAUGUUUUGAGAAAUAUCAGCUGUGAUUUCUUUCUAACACAGUUAACUGGUGGUUUCUUCUUCAUUGUUAAAAGAGAAAGAGAUAUUAUGCCAUCUUUUUCUUGCAGUUCUCUUAGAAGAAUUGCGCAAUAGUUAUUUUUAUUUAUUCAUUUAUUUAUGUAUGUUUGAAUCUGGCAAGAGUACUGAGACAAUAUAUGUGAAAAAAAAAAAAAAAGAAAAAGAUGCAAAUGUAUCUUUUCCAGAUCAGUUUGACAUGGUUGGUUUUUGUUUUGUUUUGUUUUAAUUCUCUUAUAUUUCUGAUUGUAGAGUUUCUAAAUAGGUAGAGAAAUUUAACAAAGUACUGUUCCUGUUUCUUUUGGACUGAAUUUGAAGUUUUAUAUAGACAACUCUCUGCCAUAAUUCUUUAUCUGGGCUUUGCUUAAACAGUGCUACAUUGCAAAUAAUAAUCCAUAUCUCACGUCUAAAAUGACAUGGCAAAAAAAUCAUCUUAACAGUUAAGACAAUCAGCCCAGCCAGCAUUGUGUUAAUUAGAAAACUUCAAUAUUCUAAAACUGUUUUAAUUGUAAAACCAGACUGGUGGAAGUUGAUUGUUCUUGGUUUAUAAAAAUGAAAAUGCAAGUUUUCACUUCUUUCAAACAUUUCUCUACGACAUCAGUUUUAACACGCUUUAGAUCUAUUGGUUCUGAAGGUAAAGAGAAUUUUAAAACACUACAUUAUAGGGAGUGACAUCAGUUCCAAUAGGCUUCAUUCAAAAUGACACAGAGAAUAGGUCUGUUUGAAGAUUAUUUCCAAAAACAACAACAAAAAUAAAUAAAUAAAUAAUUAGGCCACCAUUUUCCCAUUUUCCACUCAUUUAUAACCAAAAAAAAAAAAAAAAAUCAAUUAUAUAUGAUGGAGAAGAGACGAGAGAACAAUGCGCACUCCUUUCAACAUUCUCCUUAGAUUUUCACUUAUGUUACAGCUUAUUUAGCUUUCCAUGCCAAAAACUAGUAAUGCCUGAAUCAGAAUGGACCUUAUAUUCAGGCAGACUGGGUCUUUUUGUUGUUUAAAUGUUUCUGAAGGAAUUUAAUGACGUACUAGCAAACAUCUGGCAAUAGAGCUUAAGUGGAACUUAAUGUUAAAACAGGAUUUUUGAUGUUACUUUGAUGUGUUAUACUUCUUAUCUGUAACUCUGAUUAAACUUAGCAGGCCAGAAUAAAUUGAACUUUAAUUCAGCAAAA